ensembl:lncRNA
AACAACUUUCAGAAUUUAAAAGCAACCUGAAGUUCCCAUUAGAUUUCUGGAGUUUUUCUUUUUUGUCUGCAGGGUUCAUCGUUGAAAUGGAGUGAUGGAUCUCUGAUAACCUUUGUCCAGAGGCCUCUGUCAUCCAUUUUCCAUGCUGUUGGAGGACUAAUUAACAGCCUGCUUAACAUAAAACUUUGCCUGAUGGUCAAUAUCGGAGGAGGGGCUCAGUGGGACAGCUCCCCCUGCGGUCAGAAGCUGCCAUUCAUCUGCACUUACAAACCAAGCCUGGUCCAACUGUCACUGAACCACUGAUCAAACCUGACUGGUUGCCACGGCAUUUGGAAUUGAGUUCACCUGAAAUACAUUAGUGCAGAAAAAUCUUUUGCAUGGAAAAAUCAAGGUCUUAUACGAAAAAAAGAAGAGAAAUCUGCUGCCUCCUCCUGCCCAGGACUUUUCAAUGACAGGCACAGCUGCAUCCCAUGAAGACCAUCCAAACUAUCUCUUAAAGGAAGACAGUAAACAAAGCAACAAACUGAUGCUCAUUCUGCAGAUGUUGAAGAUAACUGUUCAUGCUGGCACACAGUGGGGUUCUUACUCCUUACGCUAUGGAGCAUUCACCAAAACUCUCAGGAAUUAGAGACUAUAUUACUUUAGAGAAUGAGCU